UCCAAGGAGCCCCAGGCAAACCCAAAAAGACCUGCAAACAUCCAACCAGCCUACAGAGGUCCAAGGAGACCUAAGAAGACCUAAGCAGGCCCAAGUAGAUCCAAGCAGACCUACACAGAUCCAAGUAGAUCCAAGUAGAUCCAAGCAAACCUACACAGAUCCAAGUAGAUCCAAGCAGACCUACACAGAUCCAAGUAGAUCCAAGUAGACCAACGCAGAUCCAAGUAGAUCCAAGUAGACCUACACAGAUCCAAGUAGAUCCAAGUAGACCAACACAGAUCCAAGUAGAUCCAAGUAGAUCCAGGCAGACCAACGCAGACCCAAGUAGA